rnacentral:lncRNA from 1 species
AUAAGGAGUUACUAUCCAGAAUAUAUAACUAAACCACAACCAAAAACCCAACCUGAUUAAAAAAUGGGCAAAGGAUUUGACUAAACAUUUCUCUAAAGAAGAUACACAAAUGGUCAAUAAGCACAUGAAAGGAUGCUCAACAUCACUAAUCAUUAGAGAGAUGCAAAUCAAAACCACACUAAGAUACCACCUCACACACAUUAGAAUAGUGACUGUCAAAAAAUUCCAGAAAAUAACAAGUGCUGGUGAGGAUGUGGAGAGAAUUUGCCCUGUUGGUGGAAAUGUAAAAUGAUGAAGCUGCUAUAGAAAACAAUAUACUGGUUCCUCAGAAAAUUUAACAGGAAUUAUCAUGUGAUCAGUAAUUCUACUUCUGGGUAUAUACACAAAAGAAUUGAAAGCAGGGUCUUGCACAUAUAUCUGUACAUCCAUAUUCACAGCAGCAUGAUUCUCGGUAGCCAAAAAGUGGAAGCAACUCAAGUGUCCAUUGACAGAUGAAUGCAUAAGCAACAUGUGGUAUAUAUACAUACAAUGGAACAUGAGUUAGUCUUAAAAAGGAAGGCGAUUCUGAUACAUGCUACAACAUGGAUGAACCUUGAGGGCAUUCGCCAAGUGAAAUAAGGCAGUCACAAAAGGAAAAAUACUGUAUAAUUCCUCAUAUUCCACUUAUAUGAGGCAUCUCGAGUCGUCAAAUUUAUAGACAGAAAAUGAAUGGUAGUUGCCAGGAGCUGAGGAUAGGGAGAAAUGGGAAGGUGUUUAAUGGAUACAGUUUCAGUUUUGCAAGAUGAAAGGAGUUCUAAGGUAGUGGUGACGUUUGCACGACAUUGUGAACAUAAUACCACUAAACUGUAUAUUUAAAAUGGUUAAGAUGAUAAAUUUUGUUGUGUGUAUUUUAUCCCAAUCUAAAAAAGUAUCAGUUCCUUCUCUAUUAAUUUCUAUGAUGAAACCUCUCAGAGCCCGGAAUGGCCCCUUGCAUCUAGCAUGCAUCAAUAAAUGCGUAAGCGGACGGAUGACCAGAUCCAGAGUUGGAAGUUACCUUUGGUGAAACCCUCUACCCAGCCUGAAUCCUUCCAGGUUGUAGGACACUCACUACCUCUCAAAGCAUGUCAUUUCUUCUUCAUUAGAAAAUUCUUCUUCAUGCCACCUUUAAGCUGAAAUAUGACUUCCCUGUAAUAUUUCCCCUUCCUCGGUGAUCAUAGCUCUGCCUUCCAGGCCCAGAAAGAACAGGUCAAAUUUCUACCUCAUCUGACCACCUUCAUGCAAUAAAAGACAGAGCUCUGUGCACUUGGAGAGUUAAAGCCUCACCCCAAAUGCAUCUUCCCGGCAGAGAGACAGUCCUUUUGCAGUUAAAUCACACUGAAAAUCCUCAAGAGGAAUAUCUGUUUCUGGUUCAUUCCAGAGAUGCACUAAAUGGCAAGAACAUGGAGGCAACACAUGGACCCGAUGGAGUCUCCUUGUGGGAGGGGACUCCCAUCUUUGAAGAACAAGAACUAUUUAUCUAGGAAUAGAGAAAUCUCUGAGUGAGACACCACCUGUCUUGAAGAUGAUUCUAUGGCAGAGGAAGCCUUGUUUUGGGUCUAAGUCCAUAGUAUAUACGUUACAGCAAAGCAGAUUUCAACUCAAUUAUUUAAAAAAGACUGUAGAACUGCAAGUGCAUAAAAACUCAUAGAAUAGUAGUAACUGUAGGAAUCAUUACUAUUAGGCCCCAGCUUGAACUUCAUUGCCCCUUUGAAUUCAGGAAAUAAAUAAGCACAUGUACACAUACGCACACCCCAUAUGUCACACCAGGCAUUGUGGCGCCAUCCAUGACUGACACUAAACAUUCUAGAAGUAUUUCUGUUUUCAUGCAGAUACACACAGCACAGCUAGUUUCAAAAUUAAACCACAAUGAAAACUGUCACUACUGACAAGGAACUAUGCAAAGACCUUCGGUCUCAGGCCCUUGCUCACUCAGGAGUACCUUGAGACCUGUUUCUUCCUGUUCAGCUGCAGUCACGGUUCUAACCUGGUUCUUCUCACGGCUGGUAUCCUCUGACCUUUUAUGUCUUGGCAAUGACUUCCAUGCAUUUUGGCAGUGACUGCCUGAAUCUCUGAUUCAACCCUGAUCGCAGCCUCUCGGGCUUUCUCGCUCCUUUAAUUCUUUCCGCGGAUGGCCACGGCUUUUGCCGCCUGUACCCUUCCUGGAGCAACCCGUGCUUUUGAAAAAUGACCAUGCCGAAGGGGAACUAACACUCCCAGCCUGGUGCGGGUCUUGUCAAUCUGAUUUUUAAAUGAUGGAGGAGGAGGUUUGAGGACAAAGCUCAUGGUGGCAUUACCACUAUCAGGGACGCUGCAAAGAUCAAGUGAAAAGGGGAAAAGGCUCUUCUCAAUGUGAGCACAUUCACAGGCUCUGAGAACAGAGAGGUAUUUAAAGUGAACUGGAACAAACCUGCAACAUCCGGUGCGUUCUGCCUUCAAAAAUAGCUGCCAGUUAGAAAGGGUUAUUUACAUAUUGAUUUCAUGCUAACUUUGUAAUGGAAUGUGCUGCCUGCCUGCCUGCCUGAGACCUAACAACUGUCAUCAUAAUUUUUUCUAAAAAUACAGUCAGAGAAAAACACUCAUUGAACCCUCCACUGGAAAGUAGCUGCAAAAGACCCCCUGAUCCCAAACCUGCUUGACAGACCACAGCCAAGGGCAGGGACACUCAACAACUGUAAACGAGGAACAUUUCACAGCGGCAGCUGGCCCCUCUCUUCUUCCAACCAGCCAAUAUUUUUUGUCUUUCUAGAAAACCUGUCUUGUUCAAAGGCCUGAUGGAGCUGAUUCGGUUGUGAUCCUGGGCAUAUGGAUGGCAUAUUUGCUGCGAGCUAGGUGAGACGCGUCCCAGAAGGACCGCUGCCAGCCCCCGCAGCCGCCUUCUCCUGCUCCCGGGAGGCUGGGGCUGGCCGCGGAGCAGCGAAACCGGCCGGAUCCAGGGUAACUGCGGCCCACUUUGUUUUCAGCCGGCCCCCGCUGCUGCGGACAAAUCUUUCAUUCAUGAACAGGAGCUUGUUAGGCCAACUCCGGACUCUAAAGCCACUUAAUUAAAUUGUGGAAAGUCGCUUGGUCCCGGUGGGAAAUUUGCACACAAAGACCCGGGGUCCGCGCCCCCCCCACCCAGGAGCGCCGCCACAAAACCGGGCCUGGCCUCCCCCCGGC